AGAUUUGCCAACAUCAAAAGCAACAGUAACAAAAUGAGUCGUCUCUUUAAUUUAAACUUCACCUACUCACAAGGUUCAAAGUUCCUUCUCUCUCCCAAUGUGGCCCCUCAUUCAAGACACAGGCUUCUCCUUCUCCUUUUAGACCAGUUCCCUGAAAACAUCAGACUAAUGACUAGUCCAUCCUGGAUGGUUGCAUGAAUGAGGAAAUUUGCAAAAACAAGUUCUGGCAGGAUGUCUAGUGAGUUUGUGUGCCCCUAUGCCUAAUAUGGAGAGGAGAGACGAGAACUGGAGAGCUGGGAUGCUGGAAUAGCCUGCACUCCACAGAUCGACAAAGCAAGACAUUUUCAUGGACCCUACAGCUCACAGGGCUUAAUUUUGUUUCUCAACCAAAAUGCCAAGAUCAAGCUGAGCUGAAAUACUGACUGUUUGGAGAAUGGGGUCUUUCUCCAGAAUUCAGACAACUCUGAAAAUCCAAGUCUGUUGCUGGAAGAUAUCUUACUCUAAGAACACCCCAGACUGGCAGAAAGAAGUUCCUCAGAAAAGAAAGAACAAGGAAUAUGGUUAAUGUUUGGUGGCUGUUGCAACAGAGAAGAGUUUUUAAAACUGCAAACAGAUUCUACUAGCAAUCACAUGACCGACCAAAUCCUAAUAAUGUCAAUGGACAUGGAGCAGACCAUUCUCCAGAUCCGUCUAUGACCAAGGUUCAGUUUUUGUUUAAAUUCUGGUGAAAUCUACACCCAUGCCCAAAUACAGAGAAGAAGAGGGCCCUUAUGCCUCUCAGGUAAGUGCCGACAGAUCCCGA
rnacentral:lncRNA from 1 species